AUCUAAGGCCAUACCACCCAGAAUGAGCCUGAUCUCUUUUAUCUUGGAAGCUAAGCAGGAUGGGGCCUGCUUAGUACUUGGAUGGGAGAAAAACCAUGCCAAUGUAUCUU
rnacentral:rRNA from 1 species